GGCCAGGAUGUGAUCCCACGGGCACUGCCGCUCCACGCAGACCGAGCGAGGGGAAAUAACACGGACCCGCCCCCGGGGCGCAGGAGCCCGCAGGAAGCACCUUCCCAGGGGGAGGAGCACUUCUACUGCCAUGAGUAGGGACUAUUUAUAAGGACAGCGUGGCCCAACGUGAUGUUCCCGGGGACCAGGAAGGGCCACGUGUUCUAGCGGAGUCUCCCGUGCAUGCUCCUGGCAGGAGGGGCAGGUUGUGUACAGUAUCAUGAUUCUCACUCCAGUGCCCAUAUCCACUUUCACCUUCAUCUCCAGCAGCACUAGCAAAGACAUUGUACAUCCAGUCCUCAAGCAAGCAC